UACAGGGGGGGCAAGCGUUGUUCGGAAUUACUGGGCGUAAAGGGCUCGUAGGUGGCCAACUAAGUCGGACGUGAAAUCCCUCAGCUUAACUGGGGAACUGCAUCCGAUACUGAAUGGCUUGAGUUUGGGAGAGGGAUGCGGAAUUCCAGGUGUAGCGGUGAAAUGCGUAGAUAUCUGGAGGAACACCGGUGGCGAAGGCGGCAUCCUGGACCAACACUGACACUGAGGAGCGAAAGCCAGGGGAGACAAAGCGGG
rnacentral:rRNA from 1 species